UACGUAGGGGGCAAGCGUUGUCCGGAAUUAUUGGGCGUAAAGCGCGCGCAGGCGGUUCUUUAAGUCUGGUGUCUGAAGUGCGGGGCCUCAACCCCGUGAUGCACUGGAAACUGGGGAACUUGAGUGCAGAAGAGGAGAGCGGAAUUCCACGUGUAGCGGUGAAAUGCGUAGAGAUGUGGAGGAACACCAGUGGCGAAGGCGGCUCUCUGGACUGUAACUGACGCUGAGGCGCGAAAGCGUGGGGAGCAAACAGG
rnacentral:rRNA from 1 species